rnacentral:lncRNA from 10 species
GCGGGAACAAACCGCCGCCGCGGCGGGAGCUGGGCUCGAGUGGCCGGAGGCGGGCCCUUGUCUUCGCCGCCGCUCCUGCACCCUGUGCUCCCUGAAGCCGCCGCCUUCAGAACGCUCAGCCCCUGGAUGUUAAGGCUCACUCGGGCGCCAGCCGCAGCCAGGGAAGUGGCGGCGGUCCCCACCCGUCCUCUCCCCAAGGCGGCGCCCGGGCCACCGGGCCGAAGCGCAGUGGGAGCGCGAGGCUGAGACGCCGGGACCCACGCCGCCCCAGCGCGGCCCGCCGGCGCCCACCCGAGCCCGCACGGCUUCCAGCCCGAGGGGAGACGCAUUCGAGUGAUCACCAGGAGCGAACUUGGCGCCCGCAGCCUUGGGCCUGGGAGAGCUCCUGAGGGCAAAGCCUGGGCCUCAUCCUCUUGUGGAUCCAGGAGAGCAGUCGCUGAAGAGAAAGAGGAAGAAAAGGAGUGGCUAGAAAAGAAAGUUUAUUUCCACUGCAGGAAGCACUGCCUCCCAUCUGAGAAAUGUCCCAAGCAGGAAUCAGGAAUUCAUCCUGAAGGGAUGUGCCGAGUAAUGUAUGUUCAAAGAUGCUCAUCACUGUGUUAUUUAUCAUAGAGGAAAAAUUGAACCUAAUAUCCCUAGUGCUGCGAUGAACUUAUGAGUGAAUGCAUCAAAAAGACCAAGUUGAACUUAUGAGCGAAUGCAUCAAAAAGACCAAGACUUGAUCCCUUGCCCACAAAGAUACAAGGCUGAGGACAAAGCCAUGAAGGAAAAGCCUCACUGAAGAAGAGGAACCUAAGAGAAGCAGGUUCUGCUCUGAUGAACUCCCAUAAAGGCAUUCCCAUAAAGGUGUGGGCCUGAGUGAUAAUCUAGAUAUGGUACAGUUGACAUCAGGUAUAUGGCGGCAGCCAGAAAUUCAACUUUGUCCAUCAGCUCUCUGCACAACAGGAAAGAUGGUGACCUUCCAGGCUUAUCUGAGGUCCAAGAGUAACAUCACAAACACAGUAACUACACCCAGCCAAAGAAAAGCAUACCUGAAUCCAAGAGAGUAUUUACACUGGCUUCAGGGAUGAGGAAAUAAAGGAGUAAGUGAUUAGGAUCAUUGUUUUCCUUUCUCUUUGGUACAAAAUAAAUGAGCUUCCUUUCUUU